UCGGCUGCUUUUACUCUCCCAAGGAAAUUAAUAUUUUGACAAGGACCUUCUGAAAAUAAUCAUAUUGGCCAAGGAAAGACAUUCGGAUGGUUUCACUUUAGACAAUGAAGGUGGUGAUGUAGGCGACGACUUCUUAUGGGCUUGAGAAAGAGGUGUAGCCUUGGUUUAGGCUGUUGAUGGAACCGGCAGAUCUCUGAAAGUUCCCUCAGCUCUGAGAAUUCUGAUGUCAUCCACUUCCGC
rnacentral:lncRNA from 1 species